UACGUAGGGGGCAAGCGUUGUCCGGAAUCAUUGGGCGUAAAGCGCGUGUAGGCGGCUCGGUAAGUCUGCUGUGAAAGUCCAGGGCUCAACCCUGGGAUGCCGGUGGAUACUGUCGAGCUCGAGUCCGGAAGAGGCGAGUGGAAUUCCUGGUGUAGCGGUGAAAUGCGUAGAUAUCAGGAGGAACACCGGUGGCGAAGGCGGAUCUCUGGACCAGUUCUGACACUGAUGAGCGAAAGCCAGGGGAGCAAACAGG
rnacentral:rRNA from 1 species